rnacentral:rRNA from 1 species
GAUGAACGCUGGCGGCGUGCCUAAUACAUGCAAGUCGAGCGAACAGACGAGAGUGCUUGCACUCUCUGACGUUAGCGGCGGACGGGUGAGUAACACGUGGGUAACCUACCUAUAAGACUGGGAUAACUUCGGGAAACCGGAGCUAAUACCGGAUAAUAUUUAGCUUCGCAUGAAGCAAUUGUGAAAGACGGUUCUGCUGUCACUUAUAGAUGGACCCGCGGUGUAUUAGCUAGUUGGUGAGGUAACGGCUCACCAAGGCAACGAUACAUAGCCGACCUGAGAGGGUGAUCGGCCACACUGGGACUGAGACACGGACCAGACUCCUACGGGAGGCAGCAGUAGGGAAUCUUCCGCAAUGGACGAAAGUCUGACGGAGCAAUGCCGCGUGAGUGAAGAAGGUUUUCGGAUCGUAAAACUCUGUUGUAAGGGAAGAACAAGUACGUUAGUAACUGAACGUACCUUGACGGUACCUUACCAGAAAGCCACGGCUAACUACGU